rnacentral:rRNA from 1 species
CCUACGGGAGGCAGCAGUGAGGAAUAUUGGUCAAUGGCCGUAAGGCUGAACCAGCCAAGUAGCGUGAGGGAAGACGGCCCUAUGGGUUGUAAACCUCUUUUAUGCGGGGAUAAAAGUGGCCACGUGUGGAGGUUUGCAGGUACCGCAUGAAUAAGGACCGGCUAAUUCCGUGCCAGCAGCCGCGGUAAUACGGAAGGUCCGGGCGUUAUCCGGAUUUAUUGGGUUUAAAGGGAGCGUAGGCCGUUCUUUAAGCGUGCCGUGAAAUUCUGUGGCUCAACCAUGGGAGUGCGGCGCGAACUGGAGACCUUGAGUGCGCGGAAGGCAGGCGGAAUUCGUGGUGUAGCGGUGAAAUGCUUAGAUAUCACGAAGAACCCCGAUUGCGAAGGCAGCAUGCCGCAGCGUUACUGACGCUGAAGCUCGAAAGCGCGGGUAUCGAACAGGAUUAGAUACCCCGGUAGUC